rnacentral:lncRNA from 1 species
CAUGUAUUAUAACUGUCUAGUUAAGUUUUGUGUCUGAAAUAGGUUUUCAAAAGCAUAAUUUACUCUCUUAACUAUAUAUUCCUUUCUCUUUUCAGUGUGUCCCUUCUGGGAAAGCCAUCUGACAAUUCCAUCAUGAAAGCUCCUACUGGGAAAAAUCUGAGAUUCCUACCUAAAAAGGUAAAGAAACAGGAAGAGCUCUUAAAAGGAGGUAUGUCAUGUAUUAUCUAAACAUUUUAGACAAUCUGCUGAUUGAGUAAAUCAUAAAUUGUUUUGAUACACAUAACACUUAUUUACUGUAUCUAGAAUUUUAAGAAUUUUUCAUUGAUGGAAGAAUUAUUGUAGUUUAUGGACUGAUAUUUUGGCCAGAAGUGAUGAUUUAAAGAUAAAACUUUAAUGAUGGAUACUUUACUUUUUUUUACAAAAACAAGGCUUUUCACUUCACAAGAUGUUAAUUGAUGGACUGGAGUCAUGUGGAUUACAUGUGGAUUAUUGUGAUGUUUUAAUCAGCUGUUGGACUCUCAUUCUGACGGCACCCAUUCACUUCAGAGGAUCAACUGGAAUUCUACGGUGUGGUCUCCUGACUGGUAUGCAGGGAUUCAGAUGGUCAUUGCCUUUCUUGUGCUUCUCAGUGGCAGUCAGUGUCAAUACCUUUGUAGUGCUAUUUUUGUUUCAUUUUUGGGUGAACGGUUCCUCCAACGAUAUCAAACUUGCAUCAUAUUUUAAAGCUAAAUCAUUCAGCAAACUAAAAGUGAAGAUGUGUCUGAGUAUGAACCUAGUGUUUCUUGUGUGUGUGUUUUAAGUGUGUACAUUUUUGCGUGCAGUAUCCCUUCAAAGCCUAAUUCAUAACUUCUGAAGUGUGAGGAAUGUUAUGAUUAUUUUGUUUCCUCUUAACAUCAAAUUUGAAAGCAAAUUCAGUGAAUUUGUUUUUAUGGAAAUUAUGGCAUGGUCGUUUAAAUACCAGGCUGAUUCUGUUUCCCUCACAGGCCUGUUCUUAAUGCUUGGUUAGCAAUGGUGUCCCGUUUCCUGUGGCAUGACCUCGACCUUCUCCACACAUUCUAUAUCUCUGAUAUUCCCAUGGCAUCCUGGGUGCUAGGACUCCUCAGGCUGAUCCCACUGCAUGGUCUUUAUCAAUGAGGGCAUCGAACUGCAUGAGAUCAGUUAAUGCAACCACAACAAUAGAAUAUAAUGGUUACACUUGAUUCAAAAGUUUGUGAUUGGUAAGAUGUUUGUUUGAUUGUUUUUUUUUUAACUCACUUUCUUUAUGCUCACAAAAGCAGUAUAUAUUUAAAUAUAAUAAUAAAAAAAUACAGCAAAACAGUAAUAUUGUGAAAUAUAAAUUAAUUAAAAAUAACUCUUUUCUAUUUGAAUAUAAAUUAAAAAGUAGUUUAUUCCUGUGAUCCAAAGCUGAAUUUUCAGCAGUCCAUACAUAAAUUUAAUUUAAUACGUCAUUGCUAAAUAAAAUUCAUUUUUCAUUUUUCUCUAAUUAUUUGAAAGUAAAAAUAAAUAAUGAUAUAAUAGCGUGAAAUAGUUUGGUCAUGUUUAUUCAUUUAAAAUAUAUCAAUUAGACCAAGUUUUAUAUUAAAUUAAACAAAUUUACUAUUGCAAUCAUUUAAUUAGCAUUUUUUAAUUUAUAAUUAAGUUAGAAAUUCAGUUUUUACUAAAAAAUUAACAUCUUACUAUUGUUCUUAUGUAUCAUGCAUGUUUUAACUUAAUAUAUAUACACAUUUAUACAGUAUAAUUGUUUUUAACAUUAAUGUUGUUAAUUGAACAUUUACUAAAAUACUAUACAUGUAAUUAAAUCUAAGCAAUUUAAUAAUUAAAAAUAAGUUAUUAUUUAAAGUUUUUAUAAAUUGUUAACACUGUUUGAUUUUUACUGUGUGUCAUAUAUGCUACAUGUCUGUGGUCUGUGAUUGUACAGAUUUGGUUAACAGCGUUGACCUCUAGGUGGCAGUACUGCAAUGAGAACUACUUUAACAACCUCUAAAAAAAGACACUCUCCUGUCUGCAGAUGUUAGUUUCCUCUGAUCA